GACGAACGCUGGCGGCGUGCUUAACACAUGCAAGUCGAACGGAAAGGCCCUGCUUUUGUGGGGUGCUCGAGUGGCGAACGGGUGAGUAACACGUGAGUAACCUGCCCUUGACUUUGGGAUAACUUCAGGAAACUGGGGCUAAUACCGGAUAGGAGCUCCUGCUGCAUGGUGGGGGUUGGAAAGUUUCGGCGGUUGGGGAUGGACUCGCGGCUUAUCAGCUUGUUGGUGGGGUAGUGGCUUACCAAGGCUUUGACGGGUAGACGGCCUGAGAGGGUGACCGGCCACAUUGGGACUGAGAUACGGCCCAGACUCCUACGGGAGGCAGCAGUGGGGAAUAUUGCACAAUGGGCGGAAGCCUGAUGCAGCAACGCCGCGUGCGGGAUGACGGCCUUCGGGUUGUAAACCGCUUUCGCCUGUGACGAAGCGUGAGUGACGGUAAUGAGUAAAGAAGCACCGGCUAACUACGUG
rnacentral:rRNA from 1 species